CAUUACCAGCUUGCCUCUUACAAGUUAACAUGUCUGCAAUCCCUUAACCAGGCGAGUAGAUCAGAUAUACAUCAAAGGGAAUUUGGUCCUCAUAUUAAAUUUGAUAAAUAUGGAAAAUGUGACUAAUAAGUAAUGGAGUCCUACACUUGCUUAUUCGUUUCACUACUUGAUUCUGAAAAUUAUUUCUUUCGGAAUGUGAGGGCAUGUAAUAAACAACACGUCUGUGCUACAGCCAAAUUUGGAACAAAACUGAAAACAAAGGAAUCAAGUUAAUGGAGAACCAAGUGUCACAUUUAUUACAAUUAAGCAUAAUAAUGAAAGAGGUGGUAGACAUUUAUCUCUGUGUACUGAUUGUUUAAAAUGAGCUUUCAAAAAAAUAAUAAAAAUAAAUAAAAUGAGCUUUCA